CCUACGGGCGGCAGCAGUGGGGAAUAUUGGACAAUGGGCGAAAGCCUGAUCCAGCCAUGCCGCGUGUGUGAAGAAGGCCUUCGGGUUGUAAAGCACUUUCAGUGGGGAAGAAAGCCUUGGGGCUAAUACCCUCGAGGAAGGACAUCACCCACAGAAGAAGCACCGGCUAACUCCGUGCCAGCAGCCGCGGUAAUACGGAGGGUGCGAGCGUUAAUCGGAAUUACUGGGCGUAAAGCGCGCGUAGGCGGUCUGAUAAGCCGGUUGUGAAAGCCCUGGGCUCAACCUGGGAACGGCAUCCGGAACUGUCAGGCUAGAGUGCAGGAGAGGAAGGUAGAAUUCCCGGUGUAGCGGUGAAAUGCGUAGAGAUCGGGAGGAAUACCAGUGGCGAAGGCGGCCUUCUGGACUGACACUGACGCUGAGGUGCGAAAGCGUGGGUAGCAAACAGGAUUAGAUACCCUGGUAGUC
rnacentral:rRNA from 1 species